UACGGAGGGUGCAAGCGUUAUCCGGAUUCACUGGGUUUAAAGGGUGCGUAGGUGGGCAGGUAAGUCAGUGGUGAAAUCCCCGAGCUUAACUUGGGAACUGCCGUUGAUACUAUCUGUCUUGAAUAUCGUGGAGGUAAGCGGAAUAUGUCAUGUAGCGGUGAAAAUGCAUAGAGAUGACAUAGAACACCAAUUGCGAAGGCAGCUUGCUACACGGUAAUUGACACUGAGGCACGAAAGCGUGGGGAGCAAACAGG
rnacentral:rRNA from 1 species